GUCAAGGUCACUGUGACCUUGAAUGUAAAAAUGUUAAAGUUCUUAUUUCAUGGUAUAACUUUGGUAUGCUUGGACCUAGAGUCUUCAAACUUGACAUGAAGGUUGGCCAGGAUUAACAGAUGACCACUGGUCAUUUCAAGGUCAUUCAUUUGAAGGUCAAGGCCACUGUGACCUUGAAUGUAAAAAUGUUAAAGUUCUUAUUUCAUGUUAUAACUUUGGUAUGCUUGUACCUAGAGUCUUCAAACUUGAAAUAAAGAUUGGCCAGUACUAGAAGAUGACCACUGGUCAUUUCAAUGUCAUUCAUUUGAAGGUCAAGGUCACUGUGACCUUAAAUGUUAAAAUGUUAAAAUUGUUAUAACUUUGGUAUGCUUGGACAUAGAGUCUUCAAACUUGACAUGAAGGUUUGCAAGCACACUUAGAUGACCACUGGUCAUUUCAAGGUCAUUCAUUCUAAGGUCAAGGUCACUGUGACCUUGAAUGUAAAAAUGUUAAAGUUCUUAUAACUGGUGUGAUAGAAACCUUUUGGAGUGAUCAUAAGGCUGUCUGGAUUUCUGUGUAGGUAUGUGAAAGCAAAACAAUAAAUAGUAUUAUUUCA